rnacentral:rRNA from 1 species
AUUGAACGCUGGCGGCAGGCUUUACACAUGCAAGUCGAGCGGAGCGGCGGACGGGUGAGUAAGGCCUAGGAAUCUGACUGGUCGUGGGGGCUAACGUCCGGAACCGGGCGCUAUUACCGCAUCCUAUCAGAGUAGCCUAGGGCGGUUUAGCUAGUUGGUGGGGUAAAGGCUUACCAUGGCGACGAUCAGUAACUGGUUUGAGAGGAUGAUCGGUCACACUGGAACUGAGACACGGUCCAGACUCCUACGGGAGGCAGCAGUGGGGAAGAUUGGACAAUGGGCGAAAGCCUGAUCCAGCCAUGCCGCGUGUGUGAUGAAGGCCUUCGGAUUGUAAAGUACUUUAAGUUGGGAGGCGUUACCAGCAGAAUAAGCACCGGCUAACUACGUGCCAGCAGCCGCGGUAAUAC